rnacentral:rRNA from 1 species
AUGAACGUUGGCGGCGUGGAUUAGGCAUGCAAGUCGAGGGAGAACCCGCAAGGGGGACACCGGCGAACGGGGUAGGACAAUCUCGGUAACGUACCCUUCGGACGGGGAUAGCCACGGGAAACUGUGGGUAAUACCCGAUGAUCUGGCGAGCGUUUAGGGCUCGUCAGCAAAGGUGAGAUUCCACCGGAGGAGCGGCUGAGACGCUAUUAGCUUGUUGGUGAGGUAACGGCUCACCAAGGCGACGAUGGCUAGGGGGUGUGAGAGCACGGCCCCCACCACUGGCACUGAGACACUGGCCAGACACCUACGGGUGGCUGCAGUCGAGAAUCUUCGGCAAUGGGCGCAAGCCUGACCGAGCGACGCCGCGUGCGGGAUGAAGGUCUUCGGAUUGUAAACCGCUGUCGGAGGGGAUGAAGUGUAUGGGAGCUAUCUCCUGUAUUUGACAGAGCCUCGGAGGAAGCACGGGCUAAGUUCGU